CAUAGCUGCUGCAGCAGGACAACCCCCUGACCCUGGCAUGGAGUGGGGCAAGGGGCCCAGACUCAGAGACUUCCUGAACGGGAGCCUGGCCACCUGGGCCCUGGGACUGGCGGGACUGGUGGGGGAGGUGGAGGAGCCCGUGGGAGAGGAAGAGGAGGAAGCAGAGGAGGAGGAGGAGGAAAAGGGGUCCCUCUGCCCGGAGAAGAGGUUUCUUCUGCUCAGCAAUGGGGCUCUGCUCCUCCGGGUGCUGGGCAUCAUCUCCCCCAGUUCCCGAGGGGGACCUCGGAUGGUUAGAGGCCAAGAGAGACCAGCUGCCUGGCGAGUAUGGAACCUGAACCACCUGUGGAGCCGACUGAGGGACUUUUACCAGGAGGAGCUGCAGCUGCUGAUCCUGUCGCCACCUCCAGACCUCCAGACGCUGGGGUUUGACCCCUUCUCAGAGAAGGCGGCGGAGGAGCUGCAAGGCCUCCUCCGGCUGUUGCUGGGGGCGUCGGUGCAGUGCGAACACCGGGAACUCUUCAUCCGCCACAUUCAGGGCCUCAGCCUCGAGGUCCAGAGCGAGCUGGCCGCUGCUAUCCAGGAGGUGACCCAACCUGGAGCUGGUGUGGUACUUGCUCUGUCUGGGCUUGAGCCUCGGGAGCUGGCGCCUCCGGAGUUGGAAAUGCUGAUGGGGGCGCUGUCGAGGCUGGCCCGGGAGCGUGACCUCGGGGCCCAGAGGUUGGCGGAAUUGCUGCUGGAGCGCGAGCGGGCCCCCUUGCUGCCUGACGUUCCUGCGAAGGCUCCUGUGGAGGGGUCCUCGCACCAUCUGGCGCUGCAACUGGCCAAUGCCAAGGCCCAGCUGCGGCGCCUGCGGCAAGAGCUGGAGGAGAAGGCCGAAGAGCUGCUGGACUCCCAGGAGGAGGUGCAGGGCUUGGAGGCCGAAAUUCGAAGGCUCCGCCAGGAGGCCCAGGCGCUGUCGGGACAGGCCAAGCGGGCGGAGCUGUACCGCGAGGAGGCAGAGGCGCUGCGGGAGCGCGUGGCCCGCCUGCCCCGCCUGCAGGAGGAGCUGCGGCGCUGCCGCGAACGAUUGCAGGCGGCCGAGGCCUGCCUGGGCCAGCUGGAGGAGGCACGGGUGCUCUCAGGGGCCCUGGAGGCUUCGAAGGCGCUGCUGGAAGAGCACCUGGAGGCCGCCAGAGACCGCUGCGCGCGGCUGCACCAGACGCAGCGGGAGAACCUGCUGCUGCACACGCGGCUGGGCGAGGCCCUGGCGGAGGUGGACUCCUUGCGACAUCAGGUGGACCAGCUGUCGGGGGAGAACGUGGAGCUGGAGCUGGAGCUUCAGAGGAGGCUGGAACCACUCCCUGGGUCCCCUGUGGAUGCACCCCUGCUAGGAGUGGCCCCCUCUCUGCAAGAUGAAGUGAGGGAGGUUGAGGCUGAGCAGCUUCGGGCCCUCGAGAGGGAGAAUCGGGAGCUUCGAAGCUUGCUUCAGGUGCUGCAGGGGCAGAUAGGUGACCAGCGCCCCCUGUUGGAGGAGCAGAGCCAGGACUCCGAGCUUCCUGUGCUGGAUGGGGCUCCCUGGACUCCCGCAGCCUCAGACCCUAGCUCCCAGGGUUUGGUGUGCCAGGUUGGGCAUCAAGGUCCCCAGCUGGCUCCCACGACAUCAGACUCAGCUCUCAAGGGAUCAGCUGAGUGUCUUCAGGCAUCUGAUUCAGACCUAGAAGCGACAGCGAAGCCCCUGCUGGUGGCUGCCAUGGCUCCCCAGACCUCAGACUUGACUGCCCAAGAGUCAGACCCUACUGUGGAGACACAGGGGUCCUUGGAGAAGGAUGACCGUGGAGUGCCUCUCCGGAGCCCCAUUUCUGCAACCCCUCAGGGUCCAGCGAUCGAAAGUGACACACAACAGUUGGUGGAAGGAGAGACUGGGGAGAAAGGGGCUCCCCAAGGUGGGUCAGGGUCUGAGGCCCAGGAUCUGCGACAGGAGGACCCUGAACCAACACGGGGAUCCUCAGAGCUCAACGUCUGUGUGCUGCUAGAGGAGCUGGAGACCCUGGGCAAAAGGUUGGACCUGUCCAAGCCACCAACAGAGAACGGGGCACGUGAACAGAGGCUGGAGGGAGCGGUCAGGGAAUCAGCUCCUCAAAAACCAGAGCAGAAGUUGGACGGGGCUCCUGAUGUCCAGGCCUGGGAGGGGCUGAUCCCAGGGGAGGUCCCGGCCAGUGGUAUCCCAGAGCAGGAGGCCCUCAGGGAGGAGGUGGUGCGCCUGAGGAUAGAGGUCGCUGCCCUUAGGGCUGAGCUGGAGGCCCAGACCCGCAGGCUGGAGGCCCGGGGCUUGGAGGCUGCCCGGCUCUCUGAGGAGCUGGCCCAAGCACGGAGGGCCGAAGCUGAGGCCCACCGGGAGGCAGAGGCCCAGGCCCAGGAGCAAGCCCGGCUGCGGGAGGCAGUGGAGACAGCGGGCCGGGAGCUGGAGGCUGCAUCGCGGGAGCGGGAGGCUCUGGCAGAGGCGCUGGGGGCAGCGGGCCGAGAGCGGAGGCAGUGGGAGCGUGAGGGCCCCAGGCUGCGGGCCAGGGCGGAGGCUGCUGAAGAGCGGAUGCAGGUGCUGGAGAGCCAGGGCCAAGGCUGCCUGGAGGAAGUGGAGAGGGAGCGCCAGGAGAAGCAAGCCCUCCGUGAGGAGCUGGAGAAGGCCAUGGCGCGGGGCCGGGAGCUGGGCGCCCGGCUGGAGCACUUGCAGCAGGACCUGGAGCGCGCGGCGCUGGAGCGCCAGGAGUUUCUCCAGGAACAGGAGAACCAGCAGCAGAGGUACCGAGGCCUGGAGCAGCGACUGGAAGCCGAGCUGCAGGCGGCGGCCACCAGCAAGGAGGAAGCACUGAUGGAGCUCAAGAACAGGGCCCUGCAGCUGGAGGAGGAGCUGUUCCAGCUGCGCCAGGGCCCUGGGGGGCUGGGGCCCGAGGGGCAUGAGCUUCAGGUCACGGGGACCCAGAGCGGGCGGCUCAUCGAGGUGGAACGCAGCAAUGCAACCUUGGCAGCAGAGAAGGUGGCUCUGCAGGGGCAGCUACAGCACCUGGAGGGGCAGCUGGGAAACCUGCAGGGCCAGGCCCAGGAGCUGCUGCUGCAGAGUCAGCGGGCGCAGGAGCACAGCAGCCGCCUGCAGGCCGAGAAGUCAGUGCUGGAGAUGCAGGGCCAGGAGCUGCACAGGAAGCUGGGGGUGCUGGAGGAGGAGGUGAAGGUCGCGCGGCGCUCCCAGGAGGAGACCCGCGGGCAGCAGCAGGCUCUGCUGCGGGACCAUGAGGCCCUGGCGCAGCUGCAGCGGCGGCAGGAGACUGAGCUGGAGGGCUUGCUGGCACGGCACCGCGACCUCAAGGCCAACAUGCGGGCGCUGGAGCUGGCCCACCGGGAGCUGCAGGGCCGGCAUGAGCAGCUGCAGGCCCAGAGGGCCAGUGUGGAGGCGCAGGAGGUGGCCCUGCUGGCAGAGCGCGAUCGCCUCAUGCAGGACGGACAUCGACAGCGGGGCCUGGAGGAAGAGCUGCGGAGGCUGCAGAGUGAGCACGAGAGAGCCCAGAUGCUGCUGGCGGAGGUGUCUCGGGAGCGAGGGGAGCUGCAGGGCGAGCGUGGGGAGCUGCGGGGUCGGCUGGCCCGGCUGGAGCUGGAGCGGGCACAGCUGGAGAUGCAGAGCCAGCAGCUGCGCGAGUCCAACCAGCAGCUGGACCUGAGCGCUUGCCGGCUGACCACGCAGUGCGAGCUGCUGACCGAGCUCCGGAGUGCCCAGGAGGAGGAGAACCGGCAGCUCCUGGCCGAGGUGCAGGCCCUGAGCCGGGAGAACAGGGAGCUCCUGGAGCGCAGCCUGGAGAGCCGGGACCACCUGCACCGAGAGCAGCGAGAGUACCUGGACCAGCUUAAUGCCCUGCGCCGUGAGAAGCAGAAGCUGGUGGAGAAGAUCAUGGACCAGUACCGCGUGCUAGAGCCUGGGCCCCUGCCCCGGACCAAGAAGGGCAGCUGGCUGGCAGACAAGGUGAAGAGGCUGAUGCGGCCCCGGAGGGAGGGGGUCCCCCAUGGGGGGCCACGCCUGGGGGCCGAUGGGGCUGGCAGCACCGAGAGCCUGGGGGGCCCCCCGGAGACGGAGCUUCCCGAGGGCAGGGAGGCAGAUGGGACAGGGUCCCCUUCACCAGCACCCAUGCGCCGGGCCCAGAGCUCCCUCUGCCUGCGCGACGAGACUCUGGCAGGGGGGCAGCGGCGGAAGCUCAGCUCACGGUUCCCUGUGGGGCGAAGCUCUGAGUCAUUCAGCCCAGGGGACACCCCCCGGCAGCGAUUCCGCCAGCGCCGCCCAGGGCCCCUGGGGGCACCCAGCGCCCGCAGGAAAGGACCCGUUGUGGAAUGGGAUGGCUCCAAUAAGACCCUCCAGGAACAUGAAGCAGAUGCCAACCGAGAGGCAUGGCGUCAGUGUAAACAGUCGCCAGUGAGACAUUUGACGCUGGUUUUUCAUACCAAGUCUUUGAAGUCCAGUGGGCCUUUCCCUCGCAAGCACGUGGAGUUCAGUCCAAGCCCCGGAAGGGAGCGUCAGGAGGCGACAGUGCUCGGGGAAGAGAGCAGGGCGGCGGGGGUACGGGGAGUGCUCGUGGAGUAGGCCUGAGACAGGAGGGGACAGCGUGUCUGGAGAAUAGCAGUCCAGCCAGAGCACAGCUUGAAGAAAGGCCUUGAGGAUCCGGAGCCGGAGAAACGUCCCCUCACCCCUUCCCUCAGCCAGUGACACCACAGGGACAGGCAGCUGGCGAGAGCAGUCUGCUCGCCGUUGGAGUGUCAGUGGGGUCGUUGGGCAGCCAAAGAGCUCCGGGAGCCCGGGCACCCCAGCACAGUCUUUGCACAAAGAAGCCUGGGCCCCCGAGUCCCCCACGGCCUUGAGAUGGAGAUGGAACAAGCUCGUGGAUAGUGGGGAUGGCCCAGGAGUGUUGCCCGGCUCUACCCUGCGGUCAUCGCUGAGGAGGCGGUCUCUGGGGGAUUCCCCAGCUGAAGGGGGCUGUCAGGAGUGGGCCAGAGAGCCCCCUACCCGGUCCAGACGGGGAGCCAAGGCCCACUCCCCGGGGACCGUGACCUGGGCUGACCUCUGAGCCUUAGUUGGAGGGACCUGAGAAUAAAGCUGGGCUGUGGCCAUCCGAAUCUGUGCUGUCUACUGGCUGCAUCUGCGAGCUGAGGUCCCAGUAACACUUCAGGGCCAGUCCUGAUUGGUGGGGAUCGGUGGCCAGAUGGCCCUGCAGGGGCAGGGCAGCAAAGGGCAUUGGGAUG